GAUGAAGAACGUAGCGAAAUGCGAUACGUAAUGUGAAUUGCAGAAUUCAGUGAAUCAUCGAGUCUUUGAACGCACAUUGCGCCCCCUGGUAUUCCGGGGGGCAUGCCUGUCCGAGCGUCAUUGCUGCCCUCAAGCACGGCUUGUGUGUUGGGCCUCCGCCCCCGGCUCCCGGGGGGCGGGCCCGAAAGGCAGCGGCGGCACCGCGUCCGGUCCUCGAGCGUAUGGGGCUUCGUCACCCGCUCCGUAGGCCCGGCCGGCGCCCGCCGGCGACCCCCCUCAAUCUUUCCAGGUUGACCUCGGAUCAGGUAGGGAUACCCGCUGAACUUAAGCAUAUCAAUAAGCGGAGGA
rnacentral:misc_RNA from 1 species